AGAAGCCAUCAGGACACAUGGACAUGAACUAAAGCAGGUGCAGCUGCACCUAAGGCUUUCCUGCAAAAAUAAUGGUGAUGGAAAUCCGAGGUCUGGCAGCAACUUGGCGAGGAUUUGCAGACUGGUGCCUUCCCAGAGGCUCCACACAGAGCUCUCCUGUGGCAGAAGAGAGUUUGGAAGCAGUGAUUCUUCAAGUGUGACUUUUAGAACAACAAAGACAAUUGCCAGCAAAGACCUAAUGAUCAAAAUAAAUCUCCUGAAAGUGUAA